GCCGGGAUAGCUCAGUUGGUAGAGCAGGGCUUUUGUAAAGCUCAGGUCGCGAGUUCGACCCUCGCUCCCGGCUCCG
rnacentral:tRNA from 1 species